rnacentral:tRNA from 1 species
GGUGGCUCAGUGGUAGAGCACUUGCCUUGCAUGCAUGAGACCCUAGGUUCGAUUCUCAGCACCA